rnacentral:rRNA from 1 species
GACAGAGGAUGCAAGCGUUAUCCGGAAUGAUUGGGCGUAAAGCGUCUGUAGGUGGCUUUUUAAGUCCGCCGUCAAAUCCCAGGGCUCAACCCUGGACAGGCGGUGGAAACUACCAAGCUGGAGUACGGUAGGGGCAGAGGGAAUUUCCGGUGGAGCGGUGAAAUGCGCAGAUAUCGGGAGGAACACCAGUAGCGAAGGCGACACUCUGGGCCGGAACUGACGCUGAGGAGCGAAAGCGUGGGGAGCAAACAGG